UACGUAGGGUGCAAGCGUUGUCCGGAAUUAUUGGGCGUAAAGAGCUCGUAGGCGGUUUGUCGCGUCGAAUGUGAAAACCCGGGGCUCAACCCCGGGCCUGCAUUCGAUACGGGCAGACUAGAGUUCGGUAGGGGAGUCUGGAACUCCUGGUGUAGCGGUGAAAUGCGCAGAUAUCAGGAGGAACACCGGUGGCGAAGGCGGGACUCUGGGCCGAUACUGACGCUGAGGAGCGAAAGCGUGGGGAGCAAACAGG
rnacentral:rRNA from 1 species